UUGUGCUGUUUUGAAAUGAGUUGGCAUCCUCCUGGCAGUAAGCCAUCUUAUUUGUAAAGGUUUAAUUAACCCCCAUCCCCCUCUUUCAGCCCCAUCUCUACCACAGUUUCUGAGAAACUGCGUGUUUUGAUUUUUAAAAAAUAUUUAGGCAUUUUUCUCUGGCUGCUUUGUAAGCGCACGAUGGACUUGUUUGUGGAAAAGGCCGUGCGUUUAUAACAAGAGGGUAAACAUUUGCUACACGCUACUGCGGGGAGCAGACCGCCAGCCUAAUUGUGGCAUCCAGCCCUUUCUGAUAAGGCUUUAAACUCAAGAGUGAUUGUCAGUACGUGAGCCUGUUUGCACUCGUUGGUUUUUUUCGUUGGGAUUUUUCUCUGAAUGAGGCGUCUGCGGAACUGCCUGCGCAAGAGCCAGUGGUUGGAACGGGUGUUGGUGCAUUCACUACUGCCCUGUAUCAGAAGCUGGCUUGGAAAGGCAGAGUCAAUAUAGUACAGAGUGGAACUACAGAUACAAAGUGCCAUUCAGGCAUUCUGUUACCUGUGCUUCACAGCUGACCUGCCGCGACGUGGACCUCUGGGUUUAUCAGGAGCAGUGGCCAGACUCUCUCCCGCUCCAUCCAGAUGUGGCCCUUUUUCGAUAGUCGGACGCAGCCGAUGCCCGUGACGAUGUGGCUGGUAACCGGGCCUGUCAUUCAUUCACCCCACAGAACCCCCGGCAUCGCAUAUCGCUGCACAGCCACCACAUCUCACCCACAUGCAGAACCAGAGAAUUUAUAACAUGGCCCUUUCUCUCUCUUCAGACAUCUUAAUGUUAAAAUGUUAAUUCUCUGAAACGUUGAUGUCUGCACUCUUUGGUCAAAUGUCAAAACGAAAGGGAAAGGACUGUGUGAGCGGGAGGCAUAAUUAACGUCCCUCGGGGAGCUGGUAUCUCAAGAAUUAUUACAGAUUGAUUUAAACAUUUUUCAAGGCGACGCUGCUCUCCUUAGCCGAGCGGUAGGAAGGCCGGCCCCAGUCAUUUGAUCCCUGUGAAUGAUGAUAGCGCGAAGGUCUGAGCCGUGUUCCUCGCUCGAAGGCCAGGGCCUAACUGCUUUGUCGGUUGCUAACGAGAGCGGAGCUACUGCUUUGGAAUAGCCCUGAAAACCAAAAUAGCACAGUUCCCUUGUAAAAAAAAAAAAAAAAAAAAAAAAGAAGUGCUUUGAACCACGUUGGUCAUGUUAUGGGGUGUGCUACCAUACUAGACAUAUGAUGUUUCUCAACAAAAAUACACAGAUGCACCCUUAUGCCCCUCUGCUUAAUGCUUCAGCACUUUAAUAUAUCAUUAUUUCAAACAGCACUUUGAAAAAUGUAAAAAUUUCAAUUUAAAUACUCUUAUGCACUUACCAUACCUAUAGCAAGUUGCAGUUUAAAUUUGCCAUUUAAAAUGACCUAAAACAUAUAAAAGCUUAGACAGCCUGAAACCUUUGUGGAUUCUUAAAGUUACAAGAUAUAAUUUAACACAACAGCUUCUUUUUUUUUUUGCGAGGUUGAAUUUUGCAAUCUGUUGCACCAAACUUCACUCCCAGAUGUUUGGUGCAACAGACAGCGCAUUCACUGGGCCUGUAGAUGGCGCCAAAUACAAUGUGACUCUUAUUUUGUUUUAUAUGCAGAAUGUUAUAUUUUUAUCUGAUAGGAGACAAAAGACAACAAUGUUUGUUGGGGCUGUGAGUCUUCUUUCUAAUAAAUUUAAAAAAUCUCUUGA